UGCAAGUCGAGCGGACAGAUGGGAGCUUGCUCCCUGAUGUYAGCGGCGGACGGGUGAGUAACACGUGGGUAACCUGCCUGUAAGACUGGGAUAACUCCGGGAAACCGGGGCUAAUACCGGAUGCUUGAUUGAACCGCAUGGUUCAAUUAUAAAAGGUGGCUUUUAGCUACCACUUACAGAUGGACCCGCGGCGCAUUAGCUAGUUGGUGAGGUAACGGCUCACCAAGGCRACGAUGCGUAGCCGACCUGAGAGGGUGAUCGGCCACACUGGGACUGAGACACGGCCCAGACUCCUACGGGAGGCAGCAGUAGGGAAUCUUCCGCAAUGGACGAAAGUCUGACGGAGCAACGCCGCGUGAGUGAUGAAGGUUUUCGGAUCGUAAAACUCUGUUGUUAGGGAAGAACAAGUACCGUUCGAAUAGGGCGGUACCUUGACGGUACCUAACCAGAAAGCCACGGCUAACUACGUGCCAGCAGCCGCGGUAAUACGUAGGUGGCAAGCGUUGUCCGGAAUUAUUGGGCGUAAAGCGCGCGCAGGCGGUUUCUUAAGUCUGAUGUGAAAGCCCCCGGCUCAACCGGGGAGGGUCAUUGGAAACUGGGGAACUUGAGUGCAGAAGAGGAGAGUGGAAUUCCACGUGUAGCGGUGAAAUGCGUAGAGAUGUGGAGGAACACCAGUGGCGAAGGCGACUCUCUGGUCUGUAACUGACGCUGAGGCGCGAAAGCGUGG
rnacentral:rRNA from 1 species